CACAGAACACUUAUCAAAGCCUUUUUGUUCUUUGAGAAGAACAGAAACCAUCACAUCAGUCAGAUCCAGAAGAAGGGACUAAAAUCUGAUUAAAUAUGUAGAUAUCUUUUUUACAUUGUCAUCAAUUUUUAUUUCAAGUUUAUGAGAUACGUUGAUAUAUUAACUGCUGAUAUCACUUGCACAGUUUAGAUGAAUAGCAAUAGACAGUAAAAGUUUUGUUUAAAAUGAUAGGAAACAACUUUUUAUAUUAUAUUUUUUUUGCCAUCAUGUCAUGGGGUGGAGGACCAGAAAUGCCAGCAGAGUCACAUCCCUGGGUAAUUAAUAAUAAUAAUAAUAAUAAUAAUAAUAAUAAUAAUAAUAAUAUGUGCAAAGAUAGGAUAUAAAAAACAUAAAAUAAAAUAAAAUAGAUAAAACAUAAAACAUUCAAGUCGACAUUAUAAAAUAUCAUACAAAGAAAGGCCAGUCGGUUUCUCUGAAGGAUUAUUUGAGUCGAUGUGUCAUUUAAAGGGAUUUGUGCAACAUAACGUCAUUACGUUAGUUGCACUGAUUGGGGGCAGUGCGUGUUGAUCUGCCUCUUUAACUCUGGGGAAAGGGGGCAGUUCGUGGGACCGUUGUAGAAAACAGAGCUGUGCGCCUGCGCACCGUGCAUAGCAACACUCAGGUCAGGGGCAGCAGAGACGACGAGGGAUCGUUUAUGCGCAUUUUGGGGACGAAAAAAGAUAAAGCACCCCAAACAGACUCGCAGGAAUCAUGGGGAGUGGUAAGUUUAUUAAGAUUACUUCACAUGAACGUAUCACUCACAGAUUUCACCAGAAACGCUCCUCCCAUUUCUUGUAUUUUCUUCUGUAUUGUGUUUCAACAUUGUUUGCCAAACACAAAUUAUUCGCUGGAAUGUGUCUCUACAGGUUUUUUGUGUUCCCUUUCUUUCAGAUUCUUGUUUUGCUGCAUUUUGCCCCCCUUUUUUUCCCUUUGUUUUUCUUUUAAGUGUUGUGUGUUUCACGUCCCUGGAUUUGUGAGUCACACGUCCGCCAUUAGCUGUUAAUUCGGCAGCACAUCAGACAUUCCCAGGGCAUGUUUUGGCAUCUUGUGUGCAGUUUCUGUUGGAGAGUUUAUGUUCUUAUCCUGGACGUGUGAACAGAGGGACGCUCUGUCUCUCUCUAAGUUCAUUCCUCCAGCUUCUCUUAUGUGGCGCAGGGAUGGAUGCCUAAAUCAAAAGAGCUUUUGUUUUUAUGCAGAAAUGUGGGCACUGGGCAGCGCUCGGCUCUGCUCUACAGCCUUUGUUUCAGUCCCCACCUCUCUCCCUCGCUCUCUUUUUUUUGGGAUCUCUAUCCUCUUUUCCUCCUCCUGCCUCACUCUUUUUUCUUUUAAUACUCUCUGUUUGCUUAAAUUU
rnacentral:lncRNA from 15 species